rnacentral:misc_RNA from 1 species
AGCAGUGAUAAACAUUGACAGUAAGCGACAGCUUGAUUCAGUUAAAGUACAAAAAGCCGGCCAACCCGGUGCCAGCCGCCGCGGCUACACCAUUGGGCUUAAGUUAAUGGCCACGGCGUUAAGAGUGUUUAAAGAACAUAAUAAUUUAGAGCUAAAUUUGACCCAAACUGUAAUACGUAUGGCCCACAGAAACACAAAACGAAAGUUACUCUAAUAUUCACUUGAACCCACGACAAUUAAGAAACAAACUGGGAUUAGAUACCCCACUAUGCUUAAUCGUAAAAUAUACUACUUACACCCCUUAAUCGCCAGAGUACUACGAGUAACCAACUUAAAACUCAAAGGACUUGACGGCGUCUCACCUACCUAGAGGAGCCUGUUCUAUAAUCGACAUCCCCCGAUACACCUAACCACUCUUUUGCUAAUCAGUCUGUAUACCUCCGUCGCAAGCUUACCAUAUGAGUGUCAAUUAGUGAGCAUAAUGAUCCCUACAUCAACACGUCAGGUCAAGGUGCAGCCUACAAAGUGGAAAGAAAUGGGCUACAAUUUCUAAUCUAGAACACACGGAUAGUCAUAUGAAAAAUGACAAUGAAGGAGGAUUUAGAAGUAAGGGGCAAAUAGAGUGUCCCCCUUAAUCCAGCAAUGAGACGUGUACACACCGCCCGUCACCCUCUUCGAUUAAAUAAUUUACUGUUUAUAACACUAUAUCCCGCUAAAGAAGAGGCAAGUCGUAACAUGGUAAGUAUACUGGAAAGUGUACUUGGAAUAACAAAAUAUAGCUUAACCAAAGCACUUCGCUUACACCGAAGAGAUACCUGUUCAAACCAGACUAUUUUGAGCCACAGACUCCGCCCGUAAACAUUUAAUUUAUACUUUAACAUAAAACAUUUAAACAACCCAGUAAAGGUGAUUGAAAACUUAAUAAGAGCCAUAUACACAGUACCGCAAGGGAAAAGUGAAAUAGAAAUGAAAUAAACCAAAAGCCAAUAAAAGCAGAGAUUAAUACUCGUACCUUUUGCAUCAUGGUCUAGCUAGUCUCAACAAGCAAACUAUAUUAUUCAGCUUGUACCCCCGAAACCCGGCGAGCUACUUAAAAACAGCUAUUAGAGCCAACCCGUCUCUGUUGCAAAAGAGUGGGAAGAUUUUUAAGUAGAGGUGAUAUGCCUACCGAGCCAGGAGAUAGCUGGUUGCUCAAGAAAAGAACCUCAGUUCUUCCUCAAAUUUUUAAAUAGCACUAAAUAUACAAUUUGAGAGCUAUUCAAAUAUGGUACAGCCUAUUUGACACUGGGUACAACCAAAAACUGAGGGUAAUGUAAUUUCCCACCACCUGAGUCGGCCUAAAAGCAGCCACCUUUCAUAAAUAGCGUUAUAGCUUGACUAAAAAAUUAUUUAAAUACCUACCGCCACACAAAACCCCACCCCGAUAUUAAGCACUAUUAUAACUUAUAACUGUUAUUAUGCUAGAACUAGUAACAAGAAAAUUUUCUCCUGAAUGUAAGUAUACAUCAAACAUGAUUUUUACUGCUAUAAAUGUAGUACCUCCCCUAGAAACCCCUACUAACUUUAUUAUUAAACUUACACAAGAACACUACAGGAAAGAUUAAAACAAAAAGAAGGAACUCGGCAAACCUUAGUCUCGCCUGUUUACCAAAAACAUGGCCUGUUUACCAAAAACAUCGCCUGUUUACCAAAAACAUCGCCUGGUUGUUUACCAAAAACAUCGCCUCUUGAUUAAUAUAAGAGGCCUAGCCUGCCCAGUGAUUAUUUCAACGGCCGCGGUAUCCUAACCGUGCGAAGGUAGCACAAUCACUUGUUCUUUAAAUAAGGACUAGUAUGAACGGCAUCACGAAGACUAUACUGUCUCCUUUCUACAAUCAGUGAAACUGAUCUUCCCGUGAAGAAGCGGGAAUUACUUUAUAAGACGAGAAGACCCCAUGAAGCUUCAAAUUAAAUAUCAAUUGCUACCUCAAAACCACCUUAACUUAGCAGACCUGAUUAUUAAUUUUAGGUUGGGGCGACCGCGGAGUAAAACAAAACCUCCACAAUGAAAAGGCCUAACCCCCUAAUACAAGAACAACAACUCUAACAAUCAAAACAUUGACAUAACUUGACCCAAAUCUUUGAUCAAUGAACCAAGUUACUCUGGGGAUAACAGCGCAAUCCAUUUCAAGAGCCCCUAUCGACAAAUGGGUUUACGACCUCGAUGUUGGAUCAGGGUGUCCCAGUGGUGCAGCCGCUACUAAAGGUUCGUUUGUUCAACGAUUAAAACCCUACGUGAUCUGAGUUCAGACCGGAGA